rnacentral:misc_RNA from 1 species
GAUGAAGAACGUAGCGAAAUGCGAUACGUAAUGUGAAUUGCAGAAUUCAGUGAAUCAUCGAAUCUUUGAACGCACAUUGCGCACGCCAGCACUCUGGCGGGCAUGCCUGUUCGAGCGUCAUUUCAACCAUCAAGCCCCAGGCUUGCGUUGGAGCCCUGCGGCUGCCGCAGCCUCCUAAAAGCAGUGGCGGGCUCGCUAUCACACCGAGUGCAGUAGAUUACUCUUCGCUCAGGGCGUGCAGCGGGUUCCGGCCGUGAAACCCCCUACUUUUAAAGGUUGACCUCGGAUCAGGUAGGAAUACCCGCUGAACUUAAGCAUAUCAAUAAGCGGAGGA